CUGGGAAUAUGGAGCUAGGACUGUUAUGAACAUGUUCAGAGACAAAUGCAUCAAGGGAUAAAAUUACUGGUGUUAUUUGGCCCUUGAAUGAGCAAAGCAGGAGUAAGUUGUUGCAGCUCUAAAGUCAUCCUGCUGCCACCCACCACUGCUCCCGGGCUGGUGGGGCUCAAAGGUGGCCACACUGGGACACAGCCCCAAACACUCCGGUGGCUGGCCAUGUCUUGAAAACAAAGACUGAAGAUGAGCUGAAGAUGUGCAAAUUAUGUGAACAGCAGCUAAAAUCCUGAAGGGUUGACUGCUGAAACUUUUGUUCCCAUUUCAGUGUUUCCACUCUAUUUUGUCGUGCUGCCACAAACCAGGCCAUCUGACAAUAUCAAACAUGAUCCCAGUGCUUGAAAUGUUGAUUGGAGGCUAAGCAGGAUGUACUCCAACAUGGCAUUAUGGAGAGAAAGUGGAAAGGACUCAGGUAGAAAGGAAGGCACAGAGAGUUAAAAUCACCCAGGUCUCCAUAUUUACUAUUCUCCAGAACACUCUGAAGCAGCCUAACAUUUCUUUCUGUUUUACGGCUUGAGUUUUAAAUUUAUUAUAGUAUUUCAGUAAUAUUGAUCUUCAGCUCAUUUGUUUGACUGUAUUUGCUAAAAUGAACUGAAAUAAAGAGCUGUGCAAAAUAACCGCUAAAAAUUUAGCAUUUUUUCUUAUGGAAAGA